GAUGAACGCUGGCGGCGUGCCUAAUACAUGCAAGUCGAGCGAACAGACGAGGAGCUUGCUCCUCUGACGUUAGCGGCGGACGGGUGAGUAACACGUGGAUAACCUACCUAUAAGACUGGGAUAACUUCGGGAAACCGGAGCUAAUACCGGAUAAUAUAUUGAACCGCAUGGUUCAAUAGUUAAAGACGGUUUUGCUGUCACUUAUAGAUGGAUCCGCGCCGCAUUAGCUAGUUGGUAAGGUAACGGUUUACCAAGGCAACGAUGCGUAGCCGACCUGAGAGGGUGAUCGGACACACUGGAACUGAGACACGGUCCAGACUCCUACGGGAGGCAGCAGUAGGGAAUCUUCCGCAAUGGGCGAAGGCCUGACGGAGCAACGCCGCGUGAGUGAUGAAGGUAUUCGGAUCGUAAAACUCUGUUAUUAGGGAAGAACAAAUGUGUAAGUAACUAUGCACGUCUUGACGGUACCUAAUCAGAAAGCCACGGCUAACUACGUG
rnacentral:rRNA from 1 species